rnacentral:rRNA from 1 species
CCUACGGGUGGCUGCAGUGGGGAAUAUUGGACAAUGGGGGCAACCCUGAUCCAGCCAUGCCGCGUGUGUGAAGAAGGCCCUCGGGUUGUAAAGCACUUUCAGUGAGGAAGAACGCCUGGUGGUUAAUACCCAUCAGGAAAGACAUCACUCACAGAAGAAGCACCGGCUAACUCCGUGCCAGCAGCCGCGGUAAUACGGAGGGUGCGAGCGUUAAUCGGAAUUACUGGGCGUAAAGCGCGCGUAGGUGGCUUGAUAAGCCGGUUGUGAAAGCCCCGGGCUCAACCUGGGAACGGCAUCCGGAACUGUCAAGCUAGAGUGCAGGAGAGGAAGGUAGAAUUCCCGGUGUAGCGGUGAAAUGCGUAGAGAUCGGGAGGAAUACCAGUGGCGAGGCGGCCUUCUGGACUGACACUGACACUGAGGUGCGAAAGCGUGGGUAGCAAACAGGAUUAGAUACCCCGGUAGUC